UGGGGGAGAGGGAAGUCUACCUCUGCUGCUAUAUCAGACUCCCACUACCACAACUAUUUCCUCCCAUUGGAGGAAUCUCAGAAUUGUAGAGUUGGAAAGGACCUCAGGGGACAUUGAAUUUAGCCCCCUGCAAUAUGGGCAGGUAGCCAUUCAACAUCUUUUUAAAAACCUCGAAUGAAAGAAGAAGAGAGUCGGUUCCACAGUCAAACAUCUUUUACCACCAUAAAGAUCUUCCAGAUCUCCUUUCUUGAAUCCAUUGCUUUGGGUCCUGCUCUCUGGAGCAUCCCUUAAGUUACUUAUAUUUCCAAUCGCAGCAACCAAAAUGUUCAGUAAUAUAGCGGAGAUCCCUAAUUCUCCUCUCUUGCGCUGCACAUAAUAAAGGCCUUUUUGUUUCAUUCUCCUUGCUAUUUCUAGUUCAGUGAUUAGUUUUUCUAUCAGCCAUACAUUGAUUUUUUUACACCAUGUGAUCAAUGGCACACCCUGUAAGAAUUCCCAGAAUCUAGCAAUUAGUAGCCUAUUGCAAGCAAUCUUAUUAAAGCAAUGUUAAGCAAUCUCUGUCACCUCCAAAAAGCAAAAAAAUAAGGAGAGGAGGGACGGAGAAAAAGAGGGACAUGAUUGACUUCCUUUAGUAAUGUUCUUCUUUGAAAUGUUUGAGAUAAUUGGUUAACUUCGCUGCGUUAAAUGUGCCUUCUGCAGUUGACA